GGAACGUUAUAAAUACCAAAAUUGGAUUGAUACAGAAAAGAUUAGCAUAGCCCCUGUGCAAAUAUGACAUGCAAAUUUCUGAAUCAUUCCUUUUUUUA
ensembl:snRNA U6 U6 spliceosomal RNA